rnacentral:rRNA from 1 species
CAUUAUAUAAGUUAUCGUUUAUUUGAUAGUACCUUACUACUUGGAUAACCGUGGUAAUUCUAGAGCUAAUACAUGCUAAAAAUCCCGACUUCGGAAGGGAUGUAUUUAUUAGAUUAAAAACCAAUGCCCUUCGGGGCUCACUGGUGAUUCAUGAUAACUCCUCGAAUCGCAUGGCCUUGUGCCGGCGAUGGUUCAUUCAAAUUUCUUCCCUAUCAACUUUCGAUGUUUGGGUAUUGGCCAAACAUGGUUGCAACGGGUAACGGAGGGUUAGGGCUCGACCCCGGAGAAGGAGCCUGAGAAACGGCUACUACAUCCAAGGAAGGCAGCAGGCGCGCAAAUUACCCAAUCCCGACACGGGGAGGUAGUGACAAUAAAUACUGAUACAGGGCUCUUUUGGGUCUUGUAAUUGGAAUGAGUACAAUUUAAAUCCCUUAACGAGGAACAAUUGGAGGGCAAGUCUGGUGCCAGCAGCCGCGGUAAUUCCAGCUCCAAUAGCGUAUAUUAAAGUUGUUGUGGUUAAAAAGCUCGUAGUUGAACCUUGGGCCUGGCUGGCCGGUCCGCCUCACCGCGUGUACUGGUCCGGCCGGGCCUUUCCCUCUGUGGAACCCCAUGCCCUUCACUGGGUGUGGCGGGGAAACAGGACUUUUACUGUGAAAAAAUUAGAGUGCUCCAGCAGCCUAUGCUCGAAUACAUUAGCAUGGAAUAAUAGAAUAGGACGUGUGGUUCUAUUUUGUUGGUUUCUAGGA